rnacentral:rRNA from 1 species
CAACGCGUGAGGAACCUGCCUCAAAGAGGGGGACAACAGUUGGAAACGACUGCUAAUACCGCAUAAGCCCACGGCUCGGCAUCGAGCAGAGGGAAAAGGAGCAAUCCGCUUUGAGAUGGCCUCGCGUCCGAUUAGCUAGUUGGUGAGGUAAUGGCCCACCAAGGCGACGAUCGGUAGCCGGACUGAGAGGUCGAACGGCCACAUUGGGACUGAGACACGGCCCAG